GUGAACAUGCUGUAAUGGUAGCCAGGUGGGGUUUAGGUUCUCAUGGGUUUUCCCGUCAAAGUUCAAGUCUUUGUGUUCAUA
rnacentral:tRNA from 1 species